CCGCGUGUAGCACAGUGGAUAGAGCAUUUGUUUCCUAUGCAGAAAGUCGUAGGUGCGGCCCCUACCUGGUGCA
rnacentral:tRNA from 1 species